GCCAAGCAGUUUUAUUGCAAUAUCUCUUCACCCCAAGGACUCGAGGAGGAACAGAAAAUGCUCAAGCCUGGCAGCAAUCCUGGAUGAGAUGGGGAUGUGCAGUGAACCCCUCCCUGUUUGCUACCCCACAGUAACCAAGGGGAGAAGAGGUUUUUCCAGUGAAUAACAUGGAAAAAUCCAUGGAAAGAGGACAGUUAUCCCAGCUGUGCUUACAGCCAGCCAGCCAAGAAGCCCUUUUCCUCCUCACUGGAUGCAGCCAAACCUCUACGUGUUUUGUGGAGUAUCUAGAGGGUUUGUUUGGAGCCAAGGUAUUCUGCCUGCCAGUGCCAUUCCAGCACUCAAAUUAACAAGAAGUGAUGUCUCUUACAGUAAAAAACCCC